GGACGAACGCUGGCGGCGUGCCUAAUACAUGCAAGUCGAGCGAAUCGAYGGGAGCUUGCUCCCUGAGAUUAGCGGCGGACGGGUGAGUAACACGUGGGCAACCUGCCUAUAAGACUGGGAUAACUUCGGGAAACCGGAGCUAAUACCGGAUACGUUCUUUUCUCGCAUGAGAGAAGAUGGAAAGACGGUUUACGCUGUCACUUAUAGAUGGGCCCGCGGCGCAUUAGCUAGUUGGUGAGGUAAUGGCUCACCAAGGCGACGAUGCGUAGCCGACCUGAGAGGGUGAUCGGCCACACUGGGACUGAGACACGGCCCAGACUCCUACGGGAGGCAGCAGUAGGGAAUCUUCCGCAAUGGACGAAAGUCUGACGGAGCAACGCCGCGUGAACGAAGAAGGCCUUCGGGUCGUAAAGUUCUGUUGUUAGGGAAGAACAAGUACCAGAGUAACUGCUGGUACCUUGACGGUACCUAACCA
rnacentral:rRNA from 2 species